GAUGAACGCUGGCGGCGUGCUUAACACAUGCAAGUCGAACGAGAAAUGGAGACGGAAACCUUCGGGCGGAAGGCUUCAUUUCGAGUGGCGGACGGGUGAGUAACGCGUGGGUAACCUGCCUCAUACAGGGGGAUAACAGUUGGAAACGACUGUUAAUACCGCAUAAGACCACAGCACCGCAUGGUGCGGGGGUAAAAACUCCGGUGGUAUGAGAUGGACCCGCGUUCGAUUAGCCAGUUGGCGCGGUAACGGCCCACCAAAGCGACGAUCGAUAGCCGAUCUGAGAGGAGGACCGGACACAUUGGGACGGAGCAACGGCCCAAACUCCUACGGGAUGCGGGAGUGGGGAAUAUUGCACAAUGGGGUAAACGCUGAUGCAGCGACGCCGCGUGAGUGAAGAAGUACUUCGGUAUGUAAAGCUCUAUCAGCAGGGAAGAAAAUGACGGUACCUGAGUAAGAAGCCCCGGCUAACUACGUG
rnacentral:rRNA from 1 species